CCUUUAUCAGGGGGAUAGCCUUUCGAAAGGAAGAUUAAUACCCCAUAAUAUUUAAGAUGGCAUCAUUUUAAAUUGAAAACUACGGUGGAUAAAGAUGGGCACGCGCAAGAUUAGAUAGUUGGUGAGGUAACGGCUCACCAAGUCAGUGAUCUUUAGGGGGCCUGAGAGGGUGAUCCCCCACACUGGUACUGAGACACGGACCAGACUCCUACGGGAGGCAGCAGUGAGGAAUAUUGGACAAUGGGUGAGAGCCUGAUCCAGCCAUCCCGCGUGAAGGACGACGGCCCUAUGGGUUGUAAACUUCUUUUGUAUAGGGAUAAACCUAGAUACGUGUAUCUAGCUGAAGGUACUAUACGAAUAAGCACCGGCUAACUCCGUGCCAGCAGCCGCGGUAAUACGGAGGGUGCAAGCGUUAUCCGGAUUUAUUGGGUUUAAAGGGUCCGUAGGCGGAUCAGUAAGUCAGUGGUGAAAUCUCAUAGCUCAACUAUGAAACUGCCAUUGAUACUGCUGGUCUUGAGUAAGGUAGAAGUAGCUGGAAUAAGUAGUGUAGCGGUGAAAUGCAUAGAUAUUACUUAGAACACCAAUUGCGAAGGCAGGUUACUAUGUCUUAACUGACGCUGAUGGACGAAAGCGUGGGGAGCGAACAGGAUUAGAUACCCUGGUAGUCCACGCUGUAAACGAUGCUAACUCGUUUUUGGGUUUUCGGAUUCAGAGACUAAGCGAAAGUGAUAAGUUAGCCACCUGGGGAGUACGAACGCAAGUUUGAAACUCAAAGGAAUUGACGGGGGCCCGCACAAGCGGUGGAUUAUGUGGUUUAAUUCGAUGAUACGCGAGGAACCUUACCAAGGCUUAAAUGGGAAUUGAUCGGUUUAGAAAUAGACUUUCCUUCGGGCAAUUUUCAAGGUGCUGCAUGGUUGUCGUCAGCUCGUGCCGUGAGGUGUUAGGUUAAGUCCUGCAACGAGCGCAACCCCUGUUACUAGUUGCUACCAUUAAGUUGAGGACUCUAGUAAGACUGCCUACGCAAGUAGAGAGG
rnacentral:rRNA from 1 species